rnacentral:rRNA from 1 species
GAUGAACGCUAGCGGCAGGCUUAACACAUGCAAGUCGAACGGUAACAUGGAAGCUUGCUUCUGAUGACGAGUGGCGCACGGGUGCGUAACGCGUAUGCAACCUACCUUUUACAGAGGGAUAGCCCAGAGAAAUUUGGAUUAACACCUCAUAGUAUUAUUGAUUGGCAUCGAUUAAUAAUUAAAACUUUGGUGGUAAAAGAUGGGCAUGCGUUCUAUUAGCUAGUUGGUGUGGUAACGGCAUACCAAGGCGACGAUAGAUAGGGGCCCUGAGAGGGGGAUCCCCCACACUGGUACUGAGACACGGACCAGACUCCUACGGGAGGCAGCAGUGAGGAAUAUUGGUCAAUGGAGGGAACUCUGAACCAGCCAUGCCGCGUGCAGGAUGACUGCCCUAUGGGUUGUAAACUGCUUUUAUACAGGAAGAAACACUGGUACGUGUACCAGCUUGACGGUACUGUAAGAAUAAGGAUCGGCUAACUCCGUGCCAGCCGCCGCCGUAACAC